GACGUUCUGCUUGGUAUCGCGCAUUUGGUAAAAAUAGAAAAUUAUCAGCUCGCAUUAUGUCGACUUGCGUAUGCACUCAUUUCAUUGCACAGUGAUAUUCGCCGAUUCGCGAUGUGUUGUGGAAAAUAAUUUUGGUGUUUCUUUGUGAUAAUGAUUAAUUCGAUUAGUAUUCUCACUCGAACUCAGGUUUUCAUCUUGAAGCCGUGGUGCAGCCAAUUCCCGUUCUAAACGCUCCGUCUGGAGUUGGGAAUUUCUUUGUCUGGCCUGGAAAAUUGUCAGCAUCUUCUCCAGACACCCCAUUGAUAACAUCGCCAGCUCUUGGGGUGUGGACGGCUCGUGCCAUCUGGGCGAUUCAUGAGAUGGCGGCGGCGGUGGUGGUGGUGGCGCCUCUUCUUGGUCGAUGGCUGCUGAAGACGGCGGCGAGACGUGGUCAUAAAAUUCUCUUAGUAAUUGCAUAUCUUUUUCCCCCCUAGGCAACGGGGCACUGUAACAAUAAGAGAAACAAUAUUAAAAAUAGAUUAUAUGUAGAAUAAAAGUAA